GAAAUUGGAAAUGGGCGAAAGCCUGAUCCAGCAAUGCCGCGUGUGUGAAGAAGGCCUUCGGGUUGUAAAGCACUUUAAGUUGGGAGGAAAAGCUUGGGGUUAAUAGCCUUAAGUGUUGACGUUACCAACAGAAUAAGCACCGGCUAACUCCGUGCCAGCAGCCGCGGUAAUACGGAGGGUGCAAGCGUUAAUCGGAAUUACUGGGCGUAAAGCGCGCGUAGGCGGUUUGUUAAGUCAGAUGUGAAAUCCCCGGGCUCAACCUGGGAAUGGCAUUUGAGACUGGCAGGCUAGAGUAUGGUAGAGGUGAGUGGAAUUUCAGGUGUAGCGGUGAAAUGCGUAUAGAUCUGAAGGAACAUCAGUGGCGAAGGCGACUCACUGGGCCAUUACUGACGCUGAGGUGCGAAAGCGUGGGUAGCAAACAGGAUUAGAUACCCUGGUAGUCCACGCCCUAAACGAAGNUAACUUAGGGGGA
rnacentral:rRNA from 1 species